UACGUAGGGGGCAAGGCGUUGUCCGGAUUUAUUGGGCGUAAAGAGCGUGUAGGCGGCCAGGUAGGUCCGUUGUGAAAACUCGAGGCUCAACCUCGAGACGUCGAUGGAAACCAUCUGGCUAGAGUCCGGAAGAGGAGAGUGGAAUUCCUGGUGUAGCGGUGAAAUGCGCAGAUAUCGGGAGGAACACCAACGGCGAAGGCAGCACUCUGGGCUGGAACUGACGCUGAGGAGCGAAAAGCGUGGGUAGCAAACAGG
rnacentral:rRNA from 1 species